GCCCUCCUGUUUCGAUCCUCUUUCCAGAUUUCUCCUUCUACCUCCAGAAUCCUGAAUCCAGAGCGGUCAGAGCAUAACCAUGAGAGGAAAGUGGUUUCUCUAUAAACAGCACUUCUCCGUGAGCUGGGGGUGGGGCCCGGAGCCCACCUUCAUCUGGAACCAUCAAUUGCUGUGAGCCAGCAAUUCUCAGGGGUCACCUUCUACCCCAGGGCAUCUGUCCAGUGAGGUCCCCACCGGCACUGUCACACUCCCAGCUGUCGCUCUUUGAGCAGAGGGCAGUCUUGGAGAGGCCCCGGGACAGUGUGGAGCAUGUGGGAGAUGUUUUUUAGAUAGAUUAUUAACAGUUCAGAGAAUGAGCUAGUUUGUUGGUACAUCAGCGUGGAUGUCCCUGUCUUUGUUUUACUCUUGAAGUUAAUGGCUUCGUGUUUUGUUAUUUGUAAUAUACGAGGGCCUUCACAGCAGAGCCCACUAAACUUUGAAAGUGUUGCAACGUUGUUGUUACAUUUCCUGCCAUUGCUUUUUCUUCCAAGUGAUAUAGGAUUAAAAUCCCAGCUCUCAAAAUUAGGAUGCACUGUAAAGUUUAGAACUAACACUUCAACCCCCACCCCCAUUUCUAUAUUACAGUUGAUGUUUGCAGUGGUAGAACAUUGCAUGGUGUGUGUGUGUGUGUGUGUGUGUGUGUGUUCUUAACCAAAGAGUUCAUGUUGAAUACACGUUGGAAAACGAAAGUGCACAGUAUUUUAGAGCCCUGCAGGCCUUUAGCUUUAGCAGUUAUGAAGGGCUGAAGGUUGUCGUUGUAAAGAGUAUAAUCUGAGGAUUUUGGUGUAGGCUGAGAACUCUGGGAGAUAGUAUUCCCGUUUGGCUUUGUACUAAAUGUCAUUAGCUGCAGUCGUUUAAAAUAAGAACAAGAAGUUGAAUAUUAAUUGUUUAUAAACAUGCAAACUACUAAGCCCAGUUUGGUCCACACUGAGGUAAGAUUUAUGGUGAACAUUUUCACUUUGUAGCUAAGGUUUUGUUUGUUUGUUUGUUUGUUUUUUAAUUAGAAGUGCAGAUCACUUUGUUAGUCUUGGUAAGUGUAAAAUGAAAACUGUAUGUGUGAUUUGGGAAAUUCAUGAAGCAGAACAGUUCUUCAGAGGCAAGUGGAAUAUUUUAAGACUUAGAUUCUUUCAGAUGUCCAUCAGCACCCAGGCUUGCUGCAGAACUAUUUCUGCAUUAUUUAAUCAUUGCCAUUGACAUUCACACAUGCCCGUAUCCUACCUGCAGACCAAAUGAGCUGCCUUCAGUGGGUUCUGGCAUUCCUGAGCUCUUUUCAAAACCUGUGGAUUUUGGUUGUCCUUGAACACAGUCAUGCUGUAUAAUUACAUUGUUUCCUGUAAUUAUCUUGAAAUACAGAGCUAAGCAGCUCAUUAAAAGCUAUAGUUUCCAGCAUGGAAAUAGAUGUUUUUAAGUAAUCAUAACCUGUUGAUGUGCCUUUGAGGG
rnacentral:lncRNA from 1 species